rnacentral:tRNA from 1 species
GUGGGGCUGGGGCUCAGUGGCAGAGCGCUUGCUUAGCAUGUGUGAGGCACUGGGUUCGAUCCUCAGCACCACA